CAUAUACCCACAUUAGUGCCCUUGUUUGAAUGGGAGGGAGGUGAGAAAUUGAUGAAUUCAGAGUAAGAAAUGAUCCAGCUAAUAUAGUCUAUAAAAAGAGGGCUGACUUUCAGAAACACAUUUUUGAACCUCUGACUCAUAGGACCUGAAACCAAAGCCUUUCAUCCUUAGUUAAGCCUUAACUAUUCUUGAAAUGGAAAACGUUUUUUGGCAACCCAGCUUCCUUCCUAAGAUCCCUACUUUAAAUAGUAUUUUGAAUAUGCAGAUGUUUCUAUUUUGUUAGUAGUAAAUAUUUCUGAAUUUCUUAUUUUUUUAUGAUGUAAGGAAAAUAUUUCAUGGUGGUUUUUGUUGGGGGGAGUGGGGGGUAUGCUUUUUAAAUUUUACUAAACACAU
rnacentral:lncRNA from 1 species